AUUUUUGAGGAUGGAUAGGUAAUGUGCUAUCAGCAGUGAGUUCUGUAUUCAGUCUUCUCCUUAACAUGCCCUUUUGCUUGGAAGAACUACUGUACUGGAGGAAGUCAUCAAGAUCAGGCAGAAUUCUUUGUUCCUGAAGAAUGGAACUGAGUUUCUGAAACUCACUUGAAUGUUCUAAAAGAAGAUUUUCUACAUGUGAAAAGACUCCAUUUCAAGAAACAAGCUAAGGAGCUGAGGGGAAGAAAAGGAGUAGCCAUCACCACCUUGCACGACAACUGACAACAGCUUGCAUACCACAUCUUCUGAUGUCGCCUUAUUCCAUAAACCUUCUCUUCAGGCUUUCCAUCACUUUUGUGAUUAGAAUAGCUCUUACUUCAGUCAGAUGGGUGUGACAAAUGGCAUCACUUGGGCUUUGCACCACGUUUGGAGGGAGCUCCCAUGCAGGGAUAUUCCCUGCAAGGCACUCUGAAUUUAUAGCAGUAGGCGCACCCACACCCUGCAGUUAGCCUCCCCUUCUUAUUCAGUCUUACCCAUUCUGUUUUCCUUAGCUACUACUUCCCUGUCGGGCUGCAGCUCUCCAUCUCCCAGACAUGGGCCGUUUGCAGUUGGUGUCUAAAGUUCUGUAAAAAACAGUAUACUGAUUUAAUCUUCAGAGCUUGUGAAUGUCUUUUGUGCUACUGUAAAGAGCACAUGCUCAUUUUGUCUGUAUUGCAAGUGGGCAGUUAUUAAAUGGCUUUCUAACGAUGUA